rnacentral:rRNA from 1 species
GACGAACGCUGGCGGCGUGCUUAACACAUGCAAGUCGAACGGAAAGGCCCUGCUCUUGUGGGGUGCUCGAGUGGCGAACGGGUGAGUAACACGUGAGUAACCUGCCCUUGACUUUGGGAUAACUUCAGGAAACUGGGGCUAAUACCGGAUAGGAGCUCCUGCUGCAUGGUGGGGGUUGGAAAGUUUCGGCGGUUGGGGAUGGACUCGCGGCUUAUCAGCUUGUUGGUGGGGUAGUGGCUUACCAAGGCUUUGACGGGUAGCCGGCCUGAGAGGGUGACCGGCCACAUUGGGACUGAGAGACGGCCCAGACUCCUACGGGAGGCAGCAGUGGGGAAUAUUGCACAAUGGGCGGAAGCCUGAUGCAGCAACGCCGCGUGCGGGAUGACGGCCGUCGGGUUGUAAACCGCUUUCGCCUGUGACGAAGCGUGAGUGACGGUAAUGGGUAAAGAAGCACCGGCUAACUACGUG